AUCAGCAACUGAGUUUUUAAUUACAUUUUUAUCAAUUUUCAUGAAUUUGAUCCAACGAUCAAGCAUAGCAUAGAAAUUAAUUUGUAUUGUCUUAAAUAGGCACGAUUUAUUGCCCAUGCCAGUAUAAAAGCGGUCAAUAUUAAAGUCUCAGCGAUUUUAAUAUUCCACAUUGGAGAACAGCUUUGCUUAGCCACUGGACAGUCAUUUUUAGGAAGGGGUCAGAUGUUAAAGUCGUGCCUCACCCUGCAUAUCAGGUCUGGAAUCUUGGUUGUGUUUUAAAUUUCCAGUGAGCUCAUCAAUACCACUUUUCUGCAGCCAGGAAGACCGCAGGUCCAGGACCAGGAAUGCCACCUAGGGAGGAGCCAGGAGUCUACACAGAGAGGCUGUGCAACAAGAAGAGAUGGUCUUGUCGUGAAAUCUCAGGCAAUUUUGAAGGAAACCAAGUCUCCCUAGUGUUAAUGUUAUUCUACAAACCUCAAGUCCACAUGCAUUGUUUUUCCAUAAGUAUUUUACAUUCCUGUGAGUACCAUGAGAAAGCCCUGCUAAGUACAGUAGACCUAUGAAUGCCUACAGUUUAGCUAAUGAGGUGCCAUAAUAAAUACAUUUUUGAAUAUGGCCCUUGGUGCA
rnacentral:lncRNA from 1 species